CAGUAGCCGCGGUAAUACGUAGGUGGCAAGCGUUGUCCGGAAUUAUUGGGCGUAAAGGGCUCGCAGGCGGUUUCUUAAGUCUGAUGUGAAAGCCCCCGGCUCAACCGGGGAGGGUCAUUGGAAACUGGGAAACUUGAGUGCAGAAGAGGAGAGUGGAAUUCCACGUGUAGCGGUGAAAUGCGUAGAGAUGUGGAGGAACACCAGUGGCGAAGGCGACUCUCUGGUCUGUAACUGACGCUGAGGAGCGAAAGCGUGGGGAGCGAACAGGAUUAGAUACCCGCUAGUCCCUGUCUCUUAUACA
rnacentral:rRNA from 1 species